GUUCAAGCAUCUAAGCCUUGACAU
rnacentral:snRNA from 1 species